rnacentral:rRNA from 1 species
UACGGAGGAUGCAAGCGUUAUCCGGAAUGAUUGGGCGUAAAGCGUCCGCAGGUGGCUGUGUAAGUCUGCUGUCAAAGAGCAAAGCUCAACUUUGUAAAGGCAGUGGAAACUACACGGCUAGAGUGCGUUCGGGGCAGAGGGAAUUCCUGGUGUAGCGGUGAAAUGCGUAGAGAUCAGGAAGAACACCGGUGGCGAAGGCGUUCUGCUAGGCCGCAACUGACACUGAGGGACGAAAGCUAGGGGAGCGAAUGGG